UCAUCCAAUAUCCAUCCACAUCAACAGUAAAUUAUGCAAUGCAUCAUAUUCGUGAAUUCUAAUGCAACAACCUAUUACAUAACAUGGCAUUCGUGAUGCAUGAACAUGCUUAAAAGUUUGAUUACUUUAAAACAAUAGAUUAGUUUAGUUCUACUCACCUUUGGCUGACAUUCGACUGACAAAGACGCAGCUGGCUCACUAAAGGCCUCUACGGUCUUUCUGGUCCGAUCCUAUACAGGUGGACUCAAAUGAGGGACCAAUAUCACUAAACAAGACUCUAAAUAACUCCCCAAAAAC
rnacentral:lncRNA from 1 species